rnacentral:rRNA from 1 species
UACGUAGGGUGCAAGCGUUGUCCGGAAUUAUUGGGCGUAAAGAGCUCGUAGGCGGCCCGUCGCGUCGGCUGUGAAAACCCGGGGCUCAACCCCGGGCCUGCAGUCGAUACGGGCAGGCUAGAGUCCGGCAGGGGAGACUGGAAUUCCUGGUGUAGCGGUGAAAUGCGCAGAUAUCAGGAGGAACACCGGUGGCGAAGGCGGAUCUCUGGGCCAUUACUGACACUGAGGAGCGAAAGCGUGGGGAGCGAACAGG